AAAAGGGAAUGAAAUGGCAUCUUGGGCCAUGCUUUUCAUUAUUCUCUUAACAGAGCAUUUGGUAGUGGAAUUUGCAGGGGUGCACACAUCGAUAAUUGCAGGUCCCCACGAGGAGGAGAUGCUCCUGACACCCCACAAAAACACAACUGUGACUACCCCGGAUGUUAAAUCACGGGCGCCCCGCCCCCUUCCCACACUGCAUCUUUCCGAGGCUUGUUGCGUCACUGGACCUUCUUCCUCCUCUUCCUCAGCCAGACCAGCCUGAGAGAAACCGGGGCCUCUGCUCUGGCUGACUGAGCUUAGGCCGUGCCUGGGGACUGAGGGAAACAGGGCCUUGCCCCUCUCUGGCCCAGCCAGGGGUCACGAGGGGAGCCCCCGUCCCCGAAGAGGCCACAGGGGCCCCCUCUUCAGCAUCCUCGGGUUAGACCUGGUCAUCUCCAUAGUUACCGCUUGUGUUCCAGUGGCUGAGCUCCUCCUCAGCGUCCUCCUCCUUCUCCUCCUCCUCCUCCUCCUGCUUCUGCCGCCUUUCCCUUGGAGGGGACCAUCCUGGUGCCGCUUUUGUAAAGCGGCAGCUGAGGAGACCCCGAGAUUCGCCAUGGAUGACAAAAAGCCAGAGGAAGGCGUGGAGAAUGAAAACAAGGACAGUAUUACUUUGAAGGUGGCAGGGCAAGAUGGCUCGGUGGUGCAAUAUAAGAUUAAGAAGUACACACAACUUGGUAAAUUAAUGAAAGCCUAUUGUCAACGACAGGAUUUGUUGAUGAGGCAGAUCAGGUUCCGAUUUGAUGGGCAACCAAUCAAUGAAACAGACACACCUGAACAGCUGGAAAUGGAGGAUGAAGAUAUAAUUGAUGUAUUCCAGCAGCAGACAGGAGGCCCUUACUAAGAAGAGAACAUGCAACUCUGCUCCAGAAUUGUGCUCCCAAGGAAAACAAUACAUUCACAAUUAGAAAACCAAGAUUUGGUUCAUCCACAUCCUGACUACUGCAUUAUAGUUUUCUGUCUUCUUUGAUUCCCUUUCCCCCAUUCCUUUAUUGUACAUAAAGUAACUGGUGUAUGUGCACAGGCAUAAUGCCUAUUUUUUUUUAACUAAAUGUCCGAUGGUAUGUCAUGAUCAACAUCAAAUGGAGAUGGGGAGGGGAAAAAACAAACUGGUUCUGUGAAAAUAUCCCUUUUCUCCAUUAGUGGCAUGCUCAUUCAACUUUUAUCUUUAUAUUCCAUUAAGCUAUUUUGCUCUCACUGUUUAACAACAA